rfam:Colius striatus contig32340, whole genome shotgun sequence.
AUCGAGACUAGAGUCACAUCUUCACAUGUUCGGUUGUCUUGGUGUGCUAUAGUUCUCGAACAUAAAUGCCUGAUCCUUAUUCACUGGCUGGGAUGGCUCAUAGCCCAGCCAGCCACCGGAUCAGGGACAGCA